CACUUGGUAUUGCCGCACACAGCAGGUAUUGCCGCACACAGCAGGUAUUACCGCACACAACAGGAAUUGCCGCACAGCGCAGGUAUUGCCGCACACCGCAGGAAUUGCUGCACACAGCAGGUAUUGCCUCACACAGCAGGUAUUGCGGCACACAGCAGGAGUUGCCGCACACAGCAGGAGACCGGGAGAAACGGUGGGAUGGACAGUGCUGGAUUGCCACAUGACACAACCAAUGAGAAAUGCAAGUGGAAUUGGUCACAAUCAGUUAGAGCAGAGGAUGUAAUUAGACCGAUGACACACUGUCCAGCUACUCAGGACAGACUUGUCCCCCCCACCCAGGGAGGACUUGGGUGAAUUAGCACAUCCCAUUCCUUUGUAUUGGUGCCAUGGGCUGAGGCUAGUCUACUCCCCCCUCCUCGGCCUCUAAUCUCUGCACUGUGUGGAGAUGGUGGUAAGCCAUGGCAAGGACCAGAGUGGAUCACAGAUGAUCGUUGCCCAACAGGUGGGAGAAGAAGAAUUCCUGCCUUCCUCAAGAGGAACACCUACCCCGUGGCUAAUGCUGGGGAUACUAUUUCUCUGAGAAGAAUGUCAAAAGAUUGGCCCAGCUCAGUGUGCAGUUUGCGCUACUAGCUCCUUGGACUGCUGUAAGAAGAGUCUCUGGAAUACUGGAUGAAUUUAGAGGCGGUUCUGUACCACAACUCAAGAGGAACGAUGGCUUGAUUUUUGGUGGAUUGGUGCCUCAUAGAUAGCAUCCAAAGGACAUUCUGAGCAUGUGAAACCUGAGAACUGCAAGCAGCUGUAAGAGGCUCCAAAUUCAGCAGAUCUUUCCUUUUGAGAAUCUGGGACAAACUCUAGCUAAUCUGAGCGGAUGGCUUGCAAGCCACCUGGAGAA